AUGGCGGACCCGGCCCGGCGCCUGGCGGAGGGCGCCCGCCGCCGCCGCCCUCCAGGGGAGGAGCGGCGGGAGCCUCCCGGCACCGGGCGCUGCCGUUCGCGCCACAGGCUGAAGGCGGCCGCGGCCCUGGCCCGCACGGGAAGCGAGGGCCCGCCGGCGACCAUGACUUCAGAUAAGGAGUUUGCAGAAGAUAGCAAUUUUUCACCAAAAGCCAGCACCAGUAAGCUGCCAACAGAUGCGUCUCCAGACUCCAAAUGCCCCAUCUGCCUGGACAGAUUUGACAAUGUUGCAUAUCUGGACCGCUGCUUGCAUAGGUUCUGCUUCCGCUGUGUCCAAGAAUGGUCAAAAAACAAAGCAGAAUGCCCGCUCUGCAAGCAACCCUUUUUUUCCAUUUUCCAUACGAUUCGUGCUGAAGAUGACUUUAAGGAGUACAUACUCAGCCCUUUAGAAACUAGCUCUUUUGCCAGCCCUGAUGGCCGGAGAUUUCGUUAUCGUACUACCUUAACAAGGGAACGCCGCACGCGCAGUUCUCCUUCCCGAAGGAUGCUGUCCCCUCCAGAUAACGGGAUGUUGUUUGAAGGGCUGUCAAGUGGGCCAACACGACACAGACACAGAGAGAUUCAGCAAAUGAUCAGGAGGCUGGCCUCAAGGAGAAAGGCUAGCGCGGAGGGCAGAUCUCUGCGACAGAUUCAGGAGGAGGACAUGAUCAACUUCCGCAGGGCUCUGUACCGCACUGGCGUGCGCAUCCGCAGCAUUCAGGAUGGUGGCCGAUACCGAGAGAUUUCGGCAGAGUUCUUUCGCCGCAACCCUGCUUGCCUUCACCGGUUGGUUCCUUGGUUGAAGCGAGAACUUACAGUCCUGUUUGGUGCCCACGGAUCUUUGAUCAAUAUUGUGCAGCACAUAAUCAUGAGCAACGUAACUAGAUAUGAUCUGGAAAGUCCAGCCUUUGCCGAUGAUUUAAAGCCAUUUUUGCUGAAUCGGACAGAACACUUCCUGCAUGAAUUCAUCAGUUUUGCUCGUUGUCCUUUUAACUUAGAAGCAUAUGAUCAACAUGCCAAUUAUGACUGUCCUGCACCAUCAUAUGAGGAAGGAAGCCACUCAGACUCCUCAAUUAUUACAAUAUCUCCAGAUGUGGCGUACCCGCAAGGGCCAGAGAAUAGUUUGUCUGUACCUGGUCUUGGUCAGGCCCCCUGGGAUGAUGAAACUCCAGGGCCUUCCUAUUCCAUUUCAGAAGAGGUUCGUGCAACCAUAGCUUCUCCUCUGGAGUCAUCAGAAAGUUCUGAUGAGGACUCUGCAUCAGGGAGUCGAAGAACUAAACUGCAAACUGAGUUACAGGCUAAUGCUGACUCAAAUGACAGUGGCUCUUCCUCAGACAAUUGUGUCAUUGUCGGGUAUGUUAAGCCAUUAGCUGAGAGGACACCGGAAGUGGUUGAGCUGUCCUCUAACUCUGAGGAGUCCAUCAAGGAAGAGAAAAGGGAAGAUGUCAAGAAACAGCAACCGGUCCAGUGUCACAGCUGGAGUGACAGUGAACCGAGCAGGAGCUUCUCACCCCAUUCCCCUACAUAUAGGGAAGAUAUAGGAAGUUGUAGAAGCUAUUUAUCUCCUGCAGUUGAGAAGAGGGAAUCAAAAGAAGAUGAGAAGAACAAAUAUAAAAGAAAAGAUCUGCCUUCACAGGACUUGAGUUGGAGCCCCUCUCCAGGGAGUGACACAGUAUGCUCCCCUUGGAAUCACAGAUUUUCUAAAAAGGGAAAGUCCAGAAGCCCACAGUCCUGUUCACGGGACAGUCGAGGCAGUCAUGGCCAUCGGUCUAGAAGGGAGCACCGUAGCAAAAGCCAGCCUAAAAGGAGACGAUCAAGAAGCAGAUAUAGUAGCAAACAUAGGAGCAAAAGAAGCAACAGAAGGUCAAGGGCACAUGACACCAGAGCCUCUCUGAAAAGCCAGAGGGGCUCUUUAAGCGGUGAGAGCACUCCAUCCAGAGAAGUGAGCAGAUCACGUUCACGUAGCAAAGGGCACAGUAAAAGGAGAUCAAGAAGCAGAGACAGCGAUCGCUAUUAUGUAAGAGACAGUUACCAGACUAGACACCAGUGGGGUUCUGCUUUCUGUAGUCGAAAGGUAUUUGGAGACAGCUAUGAAUCCUCCAGCAGAAGGAGGAUCCGGUCUAACACGCUUUACUCAAGGCAAUCUGCUAGUCCAGAAUACAGGAUACGAUCAUUUAUUGAGAGGACAGAUCUUCAUAGCCAGAGGGGACUCCAUGAGAGACACUAUUACUGUUAUGAAAGAUGCAGGUCAAGGAGUCGGUCAAGCAACAGAUCAAGGACUCCUUCUGGAGGAGCUGACAGAACAAAAAGUGAAAAGCCUGGUGGAAAAAGGAAAUACAAAACUCGCCACCUGGAGAAUCCAUUCAUGGAGAGCACAAGUCUAGAAAGAGAAAAUGACUCCAAGAAAACUUCCUCAAAAUUUGGUGACUGCUGCAAAAAUGAGGAUAGCCUGUUAGACAAUCAUGCAAGCAGUGAGACAAAGCAUAAGAAAAGGAAGAAGAAGAUGAGGAGUCCAAGUGUUGAGAUAAUCUAUGAAGGAAAAGCAACAGACACAACAAGGCAUCUUAAAAAGAAAAAGAAAAAGCAUAAGAAGAAACACCGGAAACAUCACACAAGUAACUCCGUACAUUCUUCUCCGGUGGUGAUCACAAUUGAUAGUGAUAGUAGCAAGGAGCCAGAAAGUACCGAAUGGGACAGCAGUAUUACAUGGACAGGCACAACUCAGAUAAAUGCGAGGGAAAAUGAGUCUCCAUCUUCUUUUCUGAGGAGGACAGGAUGUGAGGAAGCUGGAGGAGUAGACAAAAAAUAUGGUAUCCCUGCCACAAGGGAAAACAUAGAUGGUGGCAUUAGAAAUGCUGAUGUCAAACUUCAAGAAACAGCAGCUGAUCAGAGUGUUGCCAUAGUGAAUACCAGCAGUAACACCUCUCACACAGAAACUGUAAACAGUUAUGUUCAGGAAGCACCAGAAGCACCUUCCAGGCCACUGCCUUCCCCCAGGACUUCCUUCCUAGAGUGUCCAGAGAGAGAGCCAUUGAUACUAAGACUGCCAAAGAGACUUGUCAAUAGAUCCUCGUGGUUUGAUUUCCCAGAAGAAAAAAUGUAGUAGACUUUCCUUGGAACACUUGUUAAAACUGUGAAUUUAACACUUUUUUUCCUCUUGAGAUCUAAAAUGUCUGUUAGAGCUUCUUUCUGUUUAAAAGAUGUCUAGGAAAUGCAUAAAACUUUUGAAUGUGUAUGCACUUUUAAGUCAAAGACGAUAGAAUAUUGCUAGUAUGUAACUCUUAAAGUAUAUUAGAGGAUUGUUUGGAAGUUUUAAUUUCAUAAAGCCAUCCACAGAGUAUUUCAAAGUUUUGUGUAAACCCAACAACAGAAAAGGAGCCCAAAACCAGAGCCAGGAAAAGCAUUUUUAUGGGGAUUGCUCUUAGACAAGGGAAACAUUGCUUAGUUCAUAAAAAGUGAUUCAGUCUGAAUUCCAGCAUCAUUUCAAUCUCUUUGGUUUAAGCUGAUCUCUGCUGAAAAGUAGUUAGUGAUUUCUGCAGAAAUUUUCAAAGGACUUUGAGUAAUUUUAAGGGGCCUUUUCUACAGGUGUGCAGUACUUCCAAAACAGAUUGCUCCAGCUGCCAGGAAAUGUGUUCCUGUGUGUGCUCCUAAGCAAAGGCUGCAACUCCUGACAGGAGCCUGUUCCUGUCUGAGAUCUCCAUGGGCUGUAGCUUCCAUCAGGACAUCUCUACAUGCUCCAGAGUGGAGCUUUUCCAUGGGCCGCAGGUAGUUUUCCUUUGUGAUGGGUAAUUUCCAGACCUCCUGCUUCAGUUGGUACAGUUGAAAACUCUGCACGAACCACAGAGAUGAUUAAAUACAGAGGAUCAUCACAACCUAGUGAUUGAACUGUGUUCAGGUGACUUCUACAGGCAACCUCUGCUGUAGCUACCUGUAGCUAUAGAUGUUUCUUCAUAGCAACCACCUGUGCUCCAGGCUAUAUCACCAAGAUCUUUACAGAAGAAACCUGUAAUUUUAGGCUGAGGCAUUUAUAAGUGGAAAGAGAUUUUAUCAAUCCCUUUAUAUUAUUUUUUUUUUCAAAAAGGAAAAAGGAAAUCUCCACAUUUUUCAUGGCAAAUUGAUGCAGAAAUAACUCAGUAGGACUCUGAUUUCUGCUAUGAAGUGGGUCAUAGUAAACAAUUGGAUUAAAUAGUCCCUUCCAGGUUAAAAAAAAAGGGAAAAAAUAAAAUGUGAAAUAAAGAAUUCAGACACAAAAUAGAACCUCAUGUUGUUUAAUGGCAAAGUCUUUUGCACAGGCAUCUCAGUUUCAGAGAGUAGAGAUUCAUUACAC